CAAAAGGCAAAAAGUAUCUCUUUUUCAUUGAGCUUUUGUCAUUAUAGUUUAUUUGCUCUGUUCUAAUAGUGUUCUUAUUUCUUUUCCAGUUUUAAAACUUUGUGAUAUAUAUAUUCCAAGGAGGAAGCAAAUUAUGUGAUUGGCUUAACAUUACUCAGUUAAAAAUAAAUUCUUUGUUACUAAACUUAAAAAUACUAUUUCAUGUUUACUAUGGCUUGUUGUCUUUAAGUUGUGAUAAAAAUUACAACAAAGGCAUUUAUGUUUCCAGGUAAAAAAUGUUGCAUAUAUGAACUGAAAAUUAUUGUCAUCAUUAAACAUGUAACUGGGAAGGUAUACUGACAGUCUAGCUAAUAUUAACACACAUACCUCCCAAAAAAGUCACUGAAAUGUUUGUGACUCAGAGCACUUUUGGACAAAUCCUAUUUAACAUGUUAUGUGAUAUCUCUUGCUUCAGAUAAAUGGGCUUAUUUCUGUCACUAGAAAUAGUGACAAUAAAUGUAUCCUUCUGGUAUUUUGACCCAAGUGCUUUUAAUAUUAAUGUUGAAUAUUUGUUCGUCUUGGAUUUUAUUCUCUUUUUAUGCUUGAAAUUUAUAUUAUCCAAGAGUAGAAUUAUUAUGUAACUUUUGUAAAGAGAUUCUUUUGUAGCAAAUUCUCCAUAGGUAAAAAUAUAGACAACUCAAAAUAGUUCUAACAGAUUUCAGAUAUGGAUUAUGUGUUCUGAUUUUAUCUAGUGGGAAUUGAAGUAUUAAUUAAAUUGGCCCUUCUGCCACAGAAAUAUGGUUCUACAUGUAAUUGACUGCAUGUGAUGUUAAUUACAUGAAUAAGGUAGAGAUAGAAACUUUGGGAAUUAAAUUCUAUUUAAUAUUUAAGUAUCACUCCUUUGAUAUUAACAAGUAUUCUGUUUAAUUCAUAUAUUAUAGCUCUUUUCAAGGUAAGUAAAAUUUCUUCUUGACUUCAUGAAAUUCACAUUCAAAUUUAUAAAAUUUUCACAUUAAGUUAUUGCAUUGCAAAGCCCAUAUUAUCUUAGAUUCUUAGUGAGGAACUAGUGGUAUAGUCAAAAUAAAUAAUUUAAGUGAUAUUUUCUUUAAUGUAGAAAAUAGGUUCAUUUCUGAAAUAGAGAUCUGUGCUGUAAAUCCUGUAAAUUAGAACCUGUUUGCCUAUUGAAUUCUAUUGUAUAUCUGAAUUACUCUUUGGAAAAAUGUAUGCCACAAUCUGGUUUAGCUGUGACACUGCUUUUAUGAGCAGAGCAGGGAGAUUUUCAUAGCAACAAUGUAGCAUUUUUCUCUAGUGACCCACCCACUUAUCUCCUGGGAAAUUUUUGUACCUCUCUAUUCUGUAUGUUCUGGCUUACUUAUGUUGGAAUGUCCCAGGGCUUGAGUACAAUGUAACAGCUAACUUUUUGGACCUCCUACUGCAUGUCAGGUAUAAUUCCAGGCACUUUACAGGGAUAAUCUAACUCUAUAAAGUAGAAUGUAUUAACCCCAUUUCCAGAUGAGGAAACUGAAGAGCAGAGAGCUCCCGUUGCUGGGAAGUACUUGAGAACACAGUUUGAUUCCAGAGCUGAGCUUAGGACCUCUAUGCAAUGCUGCCUUCUCAUUUUCUAGACUAGAGCUCCUCAAUCAUGAAUGGGUUACAAGUGUGCUCAGAUAUGGGUCCCCUCAGCCUUUGGAGAUGCUGGGCAGGACCGGGAGCCCAGCACAUCCAGUCUGUUCCUAAUGCUGUGAGCAGCUUUAUCCAUUUCUGCCAGUGUGCUACACAAAGAUGAUUGUUUUCUACAUGUGCCAUGAUGUGAAAAAGUUCAACAAGCACACUGCCCUAGAGCAAAGAAAAUAUUUAGAGAUAAAUAUACUAGCUGUGUUUCCUAAUUUGCAACUGACAAAUAAAUUUUCAGAUUCAGCAAUGCUCUGGCAAGGGAUAAUUUGUGUACCUUAUUUAAUUCUACUUUACGUUGCUUCUUGUCCAAGUAUUACAUAUGACGAAAGGUUUGAGAGCAAAGGGUAAUAAUUUCUUAUUGAUAUUUUGUUAUGAUUCAUAUUAAUGUUCAUAACUUUACAUUAGGCAACAUUUACCCUAGCUAGAGUUAUCAUGAAGUCUUUACAUCAUUAAAACUGAAUUUAUUUAAUUAUUCUUGAUAAAUCAUUUUUACUGUUUAUGUAAACUGCCUACUUAUUAGUUAAUCAGAAUUGGAAAAUGUUUAGGUUUGAAUGCUGAGGUAGUACAAAGCACAUGGGGGGUGCACAAGGUUAAUAAGGGAACGCUUUUGGAAGAAGUAAUGCUUGCAAGUUUAAAAAACAUGAUGGAAUAGGUAUGCUUGUUGAUGAGGAAAGCUGUGGGUUGUUAAGGAGAGCUUGCGCAGCGCUGAAAUGACUUUGGAGACUUCACAUCACUUCAGUGCCAGAAUGAAAGAAAGACAAAAUAGUUUAGAAUCCCUGGGAACCUUAGAACAGCUCAUGGGAACCCAAUUGAUAAUCUCAACUGGUUUAAAUAAAACAGUAGUCACGCAUAAACACUUGCACUCAAAUGUUUUCAUUGAGUUUAAAAUGAAUUUUCACAGUGCAUUAAUCAUGGAUGCUCAUCUGGAAGUGUGGUUUGUGGUUUUCCAUAUUUUACCUCAAUAGAAGUUUUCAGCUAGAGAUAAACAUGUUACAGAUAAGCCAAAGAGGAAGAAAUUCAUUUCCUCUUGAUUGCAACAGUCAGAGAAUGAUUGCCCACUUGUUCGAUCUGUUUUAGUACUUUGGUGGCACCAUUUUUGGAGCUUUGACUAUCUGUUGACUGGUCUGAAUAUGUGAUUACACAAGAAAUACCAGGGAGGGGACAGCAAAGGUGACUCUGAUGUUGUAAGCUUCACUGACUCAAUAAUAAUGGGCCAUUGUCACUGAAAGUAUUUCCUCGAAGAGGAGCUGAUUGGUAUGUUUGGAGUGGUAAGGAUGAUGAAUUCUUUGGGGAACAUGUAGCUCUAAAGGAGCUAGGAGAUCCAAGUGGAGAUUUCAUGAAUGUAUUUGGAAAUACUUGCCUGGAGUCAUGUGGAGAGAUUAGAACUGGAGGUUUUAAAUUGGAAGUCAUCUACUCACAGCCGUAGGGGUGAGAAAGACCAUCUCUCCAAGGAAAAAAGAAAGAUAAACUAAAAGGCCUGAUCACAUUACCAGGAUAACUACCAUCACAGGAGGAGAAAGCUGGGCAACAAAGAAGAUAGCCAUCCUGACCUCCUUGAUGUUCCUGAACCCACCAAACAUAGCCCCCUCAGGGCUUGUACCUUCAAUCUUCACUCUGGAAUGUUCUUCCCACAGAGUUAGAGGUGUCCUUUGUGCUCCCAUUAUACUCUAUGUUUCUGAUGCUACAUUCACCAUAGAGUAUGACACUUACCUGUUUAGGUUCUUGUCUGACCUGCUACACAAUACAUAUUCAUUGAACGAAUGAAUGGCAGAAGUGGAAUGAAAAGAGAUUGUGCUCAGCAUCACAUUUCAGAAAUCAACAUCUUGGAGUUCUCAUAAAUUGGUCAGAUGACAUCUUAUUUCAAGGAUGCCCAUUGUGUGUCAGGCCUUCCUGGAACAAAGACCAGACAUUUUUAAACAAUGUCAACAGGACUCUCUCCAUUUUGGGCUCAGAUUUUCUAAGUACUGGCUUCAUCUUCAGGCAGGCUUUCUCUAAAUGGCAGCAAAGUCAACAUUCACUCCACAAAAAUGAUUCUGUCUCUGCUGAGGUCACUUGCCUACCUCUGUGAAACUAGGGGAGGAGAGGCCUCUUAUGGGACUACCCAGGAGAGAGAUGGGGACAGUUUUGAAAGCAGAGAAUGAUAUGGGGGCAAAACCAAAAAGUAACAAGUCCAUUCUAGAAAUCAUAAAAGAAGCCAUCAAGUGGCAUAGCGACCUGAAAUAAUAGUAAGGAGCAGAAGGAGAAAAGGAGUAAAUUCAAUCUGCCUCUUCUCCAUCUUACUGUCAAAAUUACAAUCUGCUGUCAGGAGGAAGGAUUCUGGGUCCCAGGAUUGUCUCUGUUGUCUGUUUGAGGUUCCAUAGAUGAAGGAGAGUUGAAAAAUCAUCAGCUGUCAAUAAACCCACUUGUCAGCAUUAGAAUAUUUAGCCUCAGUAUUUUCAUCUUUUCAAACCUUGCUUUUGGUUUGAUAUGAAAAUAAAAUAUAUGAAAACUUUAUGCAAACUUCAUAAAGUUCUCUAAUGUCAUAUAUAAAAUGAUAUCAGUACAGCAUGGGCUUUGUAAAUAGAUCCAGGUUCAAAGCCUGCUCUACCAUUUGCAAUCUGCGUGAAGCUGAGACAGAUGACUUAAGCUUUUGUGUCUCAUUCUCUCAGGUACUUACCUUAGGGGUUAAAGGAAAAGCAUUUGGAACAUUGUCCAGUGCAACAGUCAAUACUGAGUGAUUAUGGAUUAUUUGCGUCAACAGUUUUCAGCUUGAGAAUCGCAGCUCCUUAGUGAUCAGCCUCACGACUCCUCUCCCAAAUGAGAAACAUAAGGCUUCGAGAGGGCCGCACACCGCACAUGUCAGAAAUUCCCCGUCAAGGGCGUGGCAGCACAACAGGCUGAAUCCCUUCAAGGGUAAAUGGCGAGCUCAGUGAUUCCUGUGGUUGGAAUUUUUCUUUUAUAAUCAAAAUAGUAAGAAUAUUUGAUUAAUUUUCUGUGAAGCUGUGCCUGUAAAUUAAGAAUUAUGAAUGCCCAAAUAUGCAC